CUUAGUAUCUUCCGAGAAUUCUUCUUGUUCAAGCAGAUCUCAUUCCUCUCUUCCCAUGGUUUUUUUUUGUUAGCAAAAUUCGGGUUUUGAUUUAUUACUUCAAUCUAGGGUUUUAUCUCUUGCUUCAAUCCAUCCUUAUCUCUCAAUCACUAUCUCGCUUGCUCUGAAAUAUUUUCCAUUUUCUUCAUGUAUACAGGAAUUUGAAAUUUAAAUCUCUUUAUCCCUAGUAGAAAACCAGAUUCUUUCUCUCAGGAGAAAUUAUGGUCAACGAUCGCGAAGAUUGGGUUCUUGAUGGUAGUCGGCGAUCGGGAAGAUCCUAAAAUUUGAGAUCUCUUACAAGAGGUAUUCUGCAAGAAGUCUGCAGAUGAGGAGAGACUAUAUCUUAUCAUUCUCGGUUUGAGGUAUUGAUUAUAAGAUGCGACUUAGGGAAAACUAUGAACAUCCAAGAAUUCGAACUUUUAUCGGCAGAGAGAAGUUAAAGCCAAUAACAUCAUCACCUUCCUAUUCUUUGACUGGAUUUGUGAGAAUAGGGAAAUUGCAAAUAUUGGCAUGAGGAUUUCUCAAAUCUCUCUUUAAGGGGAUUCAGAAGUGAAGUUAGAAAUGGGUACAAGAAGGAAAUUUUUCAGAAUUUGGAUGGAUGGGAUGGGAAUCAAUGAACACCUCAUUUCUAUGUCGACCCAAAUUUAGGUAGCCGGCAUAUUACCUUACUGAAAAGAGAGAUUCAACAGUUCAAUCGGUAUAUGAAUGAGAUUGAGUAAAUGAAAAAUUCACUCGAAGUUUGUGAUAUUUCAAUUCUUGUGAUUUUAUUCUUGUAUUUUUUUAUCAACCCGAAAAAUCAUCGGACAAUAUGCAUCUAAGCACAAUUGUAACCAUUCACUCAAUGAGCACUCCCUUGUUCAAUGGAAAACCGAGUCAUGCACAUCGAAAAACCACAAAACUGGAAUCAUAACUUGUUUAUUCUAUGUUUUAAACUAUGAUCUUACUGCCAUCAGUUCCACCAAGAAUAUGCGUCUCUGUAAUUGUAAUAUUGUAAAGAAAAUACGGGUUAUGUUCUGAGACAUUUUGAAAGCAAUUAAAGUUUUGUUGUGUAUUAGUAAUUUCAAGUUUUUUACUUUUCUAGUUUACUGCUAAUUUGCUAGUACUUGUUGAUGAUAUUGGUUCUGGUCAAUUGUUCUUCUUCUGAUCUUAGGCUACUUUUUUCCCACAAGAUGCGUGUUCUUUUUUCUCGUGUUGUUGCUUUAGAGUACGUCAUGGUAAUUAUUUUGUAU